AGCUUUGCGCAGUGGCAGUAUCGUAGCCCAUGAGGUUUAACCGAGGCGCGAUUAUUGCUAGUUGAAAACUUUACCCAAUACCCCGCUGCACUGGCUCGCAAGAGUCGGUGUUCGCAAUUUUUGUCAGUCUCUACGGAGG
ensembl:snRNA U4 U4 spliceosomal RNA